rnacentral:tRNA from 1 species
GUUCAAGUCCCUCUAUCCCCAAUAA